GGGAAGGUGGCUCAGGGAUAGAGCGCUUGCCUGGCAUGCAUGAGGCCUUGGGUUCGAUUCCUACUAAGUCCU
rnacentral:tRNA from 1 species